GAUCCUGGCUCAGGACGAACGCUGGCGGCGUGCCUAGUACAUGCAAGUAGAACGCUGAAGGAAGGAGCUUGCUCUUUCCGGAUGAGUUGCGAACGGGUGAGUAACGCGUAGGUAACCUGCCUGGUAGCGGGGGAUAACUAUUGGAAACGAUAGCUAAUACCGCAUAACAGUAGAUAUCGCAUGAUAGCUGCUUAAAAGGUGCAAUUGCACCACUACCAGAUGGACCUGCGUUGUA
rnacentral:rRNA from 1 species